UGCCAGCCGCCGCGGUAACACGGGGGGCGCAAGCGUUAUUCGGAAUUAUUGGGCGUAAAGGGCGCGCAGGCGGUCUUGUCCGUCAGGUGUGAAAGCUCACAGCUUAACUGUGGAACUGCCUUUGAUACUGUUUAUCUUGAAUUAUGUUGAGGUUAGCGGAAUGUGACAUGUAGCGGUGAAAUGCAUAGAUAUGUCAUAGAACACCAAUUGCGAAGGCAGCUAGCUAGGCAUAUAUUGACGCUGAGGCACGAAAGCGUGGGGAGCGAACAGGAUUAGAUA
rnacentral:rRNA from 1 species